rnacentral:rRNA from 1 species
AACGAACGCUGGCGGCAUGCCUAACACAUGCAAGUCGAACGAGAUCUUCGGGUCUAGUGGCGCACGGGUGCGUAACGCGUGGGAAUCUGCCCUUUGGUUCGGAAUAACGGUUGGAAACGACUGCUAAUACCGGAUGAUGACGAAAGUCCAAAGAUUUAUCGCCAGAGGAUGAGCUCGCGUAGGAUUAGCUAGUUGGUGUGGUAAAGGCGCACCAAGGCGACGAUCCUUAGCUGGUCUGAGAGGAUGAUCAGCCACACUGGGACUGAGACACGGCCCAGACUCCUACGGGAGGCAGCAGUGGGGAAUAUUGGACAAUGGGCGAAAGCCUGAUCCAGCAAUGCCGCGUGAGUGAUGAAGGCCUUAGGGUUGUAAAGCUCUUUUACCCGGGAUGAUAAUGACAGUACCGGGAGAAUAAGCUCCGGCUAACUCCGUGCCAGCCGCCGCCGUAACAC